rnacentral:rRNA from 1 species
AUGCUAAAUAGCUAGCCCAACUGCUGACAAAUCUAAUUAUAUAACUUUAUCUAAGAAUAUAUUUAAUUCUCUAAUUAAAUCAUUUUUCCUCUUUAGUAUCGGCGACAGAAACAGAUCAAUGGAGCUAUAGACCUAGUACCGCAAGGGAAAACUGAAAUAUUUAAUGAAAACUCUUUAAGCUUAAAACAGCAAAGUUUCGCCCUUGUACCUUUUGCAUCAUGAUCCAGCAAGUUAUAGCAGGCAAAGAGACCUUUAGUCUGACCCCCCGAAACCAGGUGAGCUACUUCGAGGCAGCCUAUUUUAAGGGCCAACCCGUCUCUGUGGCAAAAGAGUGGGACGAACUCCAAGUAGAGGUGAUAAACCUACCGAGCCUGGUGAUAGCUGGUUAUCUAGAAAACGAAUAUAAGUUCGGCCCCCGCUUUACCGACUAGCCUCUAUAAUUGAAAUUAAAUCUUUGACUAGAGUUAGACCGGGGAGUUAUUCAAGGGAGGUACAGCUCCCUUGAAGAAGGACACAACCUUAUGAAGGAGGAUAAAAAUCAUU